rnacentral:lncRNA from 1 species
ACCAACUGGAGAGAGUUGACUGCUGUUGGGUCAACUUGCGAUGCUACGCAGCUCUGGCUUGGAUAGAAACUGGCAAGACAAACAUAGCGGAGAACUCGUUGUUGUUGAUGUGUUGUGCAUCAGAUAUUCGUCAGGAAUAGAAUAAGAGAGAGGUUAACCAAAUAAUGAUGUUCCCUUCGGAGGCAGUUAGGCAUUGCAUUUCAUUGUAGUUAAGGUCUACUGAGUUAUUUGUUGUAACAUUAAGCUGUCUGUAGGACAGUAGGAGCUAAGAUCAGGGAACCUCAGUUAGACCCUGUGGUCACUUUCGCCCCUCUACUGUGAUAGGCAAGUGAGUAUGUGAUUUCAGACUCUGGUUUUAUUUCUCUGAAAUGAAGCUGAUAUGUGUUGUAAAGAAAUUGAAAUGCUGUAGAACUGGAAAACCUCCAAUCAAAGAGAUUGCGUAGUAAGAGAAUAGAG